AAUAUGACUUCCAUUAGCAAUACCGGAUUCCUGGAUAGAAUGGCCCAGUCUAGUCAUCCCAGCAGGUCAAAGUGGCAAACCAGGUCAACACCAGAAGAGGCCCUUACAAAUCCAAACAGAAACUUCUUUCUAAACCAAAUCAUUUGGAAAACACCUGAGCAAUCCAUGAAGUUUUUUACUGAGGUGCAGACAUUCCAAAAGCUAAGCAAAUAUUCAUGUAAUGAGUGCCCCAAGACCAUCAGCCGUGGACCUGUCGUUACUUCAAACAAGUCAGGAUUUCAGCCAGGUCAAGGUUGAAGAAGAAUAAUUUUGGUCUAAGCACCUGGCAUUUGCUCUUAGGUGUGGUCAAACUAUAUAUAGGUGGAUGCCGCCAGUCUUUAGUUGAAUUGGGCAAAGAACUCUGAGUUCAGUAGGGGUGUGUGUGUCUGUGUGUGUGUGUGUGCAUUUGAAAUCUUUUUCAUCUUUAAUGAAAUCUAUUUUUUAAAUGUCCUUCUUGUCUAAGUGCAACUAAGAGAGAGACUGCCCAUACUAAGAGAUUGGGGUGUUUGCUCAGGGCAGGGGUACAAGGCACACCUAUUCCUCACCCAGUGCAAGCUGGGGGGAUGGAGGAAUUAGAUGACUCCUGAGUUCGCUGCUCUAACCAGAGAGGGAAGGGGCAAGCCUGCAUUCUUGUCAAGGUGAGGAUAAUUCUGGCCUCAUGUGACCCAGCUUUGCUGAUCCUACCAGGUGAGCAUUCCUGAAAUAACUGCUAUCCUCGUGGAGUCCUGUUCCUGGUCCUGUCUACUCAAGAGAUUGUGGGUGUCGCCUGCCUUGAGUUGGCCACCCUCAUGGGCUUCUUUGUUACUGGCAAUCAAAGUCCUGAUAACCUUGAUGUGAUACCCCUGCAUUCAUCCCAGGCACUAUAAGACAUCUCUCUCCCCAACGGCUGCACUGAAGGUGAAAAUCCUUUUGCCCUUAUCUCAGGGAAAUGAAGAUUUAUGUUCACACACACACUCAGACCUGUACGCUAAUGUUCAUAGCAACUUUAUUAGUAAUAGUUGCUGGAAACAACUGAUGUCCUUCAAUGCAUGAAUGGCUAAACACACUCAGUGCCUCCAUCAUGGAAUACUACUCAGCAAUGAAAAAGAAGGAACCACAGUUACCUGUAAAGCCUGCACGAAUCUCCAGAGAAUUAUACUGAGUGAGAAAAGCCACAUGUAAAAAGUUGUACUAUAUGGUUCCCUUUAUACAACAUUCCUAGAGUGAUGAAAUGAUAAAAAUAAAACAGAGUAGUGCUUGCCCGGGGUUAGGAAUUAGGUGGGAGAGGGAAGGAGUGGGCGAGGCUCUAAAAAGACAACAGGAGGGAUCUUUGUGGUGACCGAAUGUUCUGGAUCAUGACAUAGAAUCGUUAAUAUCCUGAUCAAAAUAUGAUAGUAGAGGCCAGGCACAGUGGCUCAUGCUUGUAAUCCCAGCACUUUGGGAGGCUGAGGCGGGCGGGUCAUGAGGUCAGGAGUUUGAGACUAGCCUGGGGCUGGUGUUGCUUGAUGCCGAAGCUGAGUAAGUCUUUCCUAAUGGCAUAAAACACCCAUCUUGGCUUACUUGGCUUUAAUGGACAAGACCAGCUGAUGCAGAGGGAGCAAGAGGUGGUUGGUGAGCAACCCUUGGGGCCUGAAGUGUGUGUCCAGAAUCACUAAGGAUUCCUGUGCCUGAAGGGCCAGCUGUCUCUGCCCCACCCUGUUUAGGGAACCCAGGCUGCAGGGAAGAGGUCAGGAACUUGAAGCAGUUGCCAUAUUGGUGCAGGGCUGCACGGGACUGAGUCCUCCCACCAAUGCAGCAACAGUUUUUGUUCAUUUCUUGACUCUUCUAGUUCAUUUCCAAAAUUUUUCUGUCUGGGAUGCUGGUAAUAAAAGUGCGUGUAAGCUCCUAGAAUCAUGGGCUCCAAGCAUUGCUUUUGGUGAUCAAAUGGACUGACCCAACAGCUGCAGAAACUUCGUUCCUUUGUGUUUGUUUAGUCUCUUAGCCACACGAGCGCCCAGCCUGG
rnacentral:lncRNA from 10 species